UAGGGAAUCUUCGGCAAUGGGGGCAACCCUGACCGAGCAACGCCGCGUGAGUGAAGAAGGUUUUCGGAUCGUAAAGCUCUGUUGUAAGAGAAGAACGUGUGUGAGAGUGGAAAGUUCACACAGUGACGGUAACUUACCAGAAAGGGACGGCUAACUACGUGCCAGCAGCCGCGGUAAUACGUAGGUCCCGAGCGUUGUCCGGAUUUAUUGGGCGUAAAGCGAGCGCAGGCGGUUUAAUAAGUCUGAAGUUAAAGGCAGUGGCUUAACCAUUGUUCGCUUUGGAAACUGUUAAACUUGAGUGCAGAAGGGGAGAGUGGAAUUCCAUGUGUAGCGGUGAAAUGCGUAGAUAUAUGGAGGAACACCGGUGGCGAAAGCGGCUCUCUGGUCUGUAACUGACGCUGAGGCUCGAAAGCGUGGGGAGCAAACAGGAUUAGAUACCCUGGUAGUCCACGCCGUAAACGAUGAGUGCUAGGUGUUAGGCCCUUUCCGGGGCUCAGUGCCGCAGCUAACGCAUUAAGCACUCCACCUGGGGAGUACGACCGCAAGGUUG
rnacentral:rRNA from 1 species